rnacentral:rRNA from 1 species
GACGAACGCUGGCGGCGUGCUUAACACAUGCAAGUCGAACGGAAAGGCCCUGCUUGCAGGGUACUCGAGUGGCGAACGGGUGAGUAACACGUGGGUGAUCUGCCCUGCACUUCGGGAUAAGCCUGGGAAACUGGGUCUAAUACCGGAUAGGAGCCAUUUUUAGUGUGAUGGUUGGAAAGUUUUUUCGGUGUAGGAUGAGCUCGCGGCCUAUCAGCUUGUUGGUGGGGUAAUGGCCUACCAAGGCGGCGACGGGUAGCCGGACUGAGGGGGUGGACGGCCACAUUGGGACUGAGGUACGGCCCAGACUCCUACGGGAGGCAGCAGUGGGGAAUAUUGCCCAAUGGGCGCAAGCCUGAUGCAGCGACGCCGCGUGGGGGAUGACGGCCUUAGGGUUGUAAACUCCUUUCGCUAGGGACGAAGCUUUUUGUGACGGUACCUAGAGAAGAAGCACCGGCUAACUACGUG